rnacentral:lncRNA from 1 species
CAAAAAAUAAGCACAAUAUGAAAAAUAGAAUGACACAUAUGAACUUUAGCAUCUACAGAUGAUGAACAAACUCUAUCUUUCUAUCAGAGACUUGAGGCAUGCUAAUUUUCUGUCUAAAUUCGCAACCCACAAUUAUUCGCAUGCUGAUUUAUCCUUUUUAGUUUGUCAUUUCACAAAUUCACAUCCUAGUUUUAACCUUCCUUUUAAGCAGUUGAUGUGGCCGGUGGAGAGGCAGUAGAUGGCUGCAUCUAUCCAACUUGUCUUUUGCUUUCAGAAAAAUGUGUCCCGUGGGGAUUAACCCGUC